GUUGCAGUUAAAAAGCUCGUAGUUGGAUUUCUGGCGGGAGCGGGUGGUCCGGCACUUUGUGUUGGUACUUUCCUGUCUCUUGCCAUCCUUGGGUCUAAGCUGUCUGGCAUUUAGUUGUCGGGCAGUGGCUGCCCAUCGUUUACUGUGAAAAAAUUAGAGUGUUCAAAGCAGGCUUAUGCCGUUGAAUAUAUUAGCAUGGAAUAAUAAGAUAGGGCC
rnacentral:rRNA from 1 species